CCUUCUUCAGAGCAGCGCGAACCAACUGCCUCUGACCAGGUGAGACGGUUCCGUCCCUCUCCUGCCCACUGACCAGCUCCCACACCUUUUAAACAAUCAGUCAAUCAAAUGUAUCGAUAAAGCAGUUUUUAGAUCAAAAGAGUGAGAAUAAGGGGUUUUACAGUAACCCGGCCUGGACUCCAGACUGCAAGCAGAGGCACACAUUAGCAAAGAAAAACUCAACAUCCAAAAUGGCACCCGAUUCACUACACAGUGCACUACUUUUCACCAGGGUCCAGGUCAAAACUAGGGCACUAUUUAGGGAAUCGGGUGGCAUUUUGGACACCCCACCUACCUGUCCCCUGGUCCUCCUCCUCAGCUUGACCUUGAUGGAGAUCUGAGUGUUCUCCAGCCUCUGUCCGGUCAGCCACUUCCUCCCAACCGCACCUCACAAUCACAUCACAUCUUAUUUACAACGCAGUUAAAAAUGUCAACACACUUUACAGUACAUGACACAGAUACAAAUAAACAACAUGCUAAAUAUGAGGUUCAUAAAAUAACUAUAAAACCCCAAAGGAUGUGAAAAAUAAGUCAAAUGGUUGAUUCAAGGCCCCAGGGUUUGAAAGACGACUUAAAAACCUCAACUAUCAUCCCCUCAUACCUCUCCUCUCCUGACACUCCCCUGUUCCUCCUUCCUCUGCUCUCCCAGUGUGUGGUGUCAGCUGCUGCUCCCUCAUCUUCUCCAUCCUCCUCUCCGUCACACCGUUCUCCGCCACAGAGCAUUCUGGGACGGCACUCUUCUCCCGGGGUGUCGUGGGGUGGUCCGAAUCGUCACUUGGGGCGACCAUGUCACCGCUCAGGACAACAGAGGACGAUGAGAGGUUUGUGACCUCCGGUUCGGAGGUCCGAGGGUGGGUUCUAAAGGAAGCUGUGCCACAGCUGACCGUUGCUUUGACGCUGGGUGGGGUGGAACUGGGGGUCAUAAUCUGGGGACUCAGGGAAGGAGGUGCCGUGUGAGUUGUGUGCUGCUGCCCUUCACUGCUGCUCUGGACUAGUAGGAGAGGUGGAG
rnacentral:lncRNA from 1 species